rnacentral:rRNA from 1 species
UGACUGCGUACCUUUUGUAUAAUGGGUCAGCGACUUAUAUUCUGUAGCAAGGUUAACCGAAUAGGGGAGCCGAAGGGAAACCGAGUCUUAACUGGGCGUUAAGUUGCAGGGUAUAGACCCGAAACCCGGUGAUCUAGCCAUGGGCAGGUUGAAGGUUGGGUAACACUAACUGGAGGACCGAACCGACUAAUGUUGAAAAAUUAGCGGAUGACUUGUGGCUGGGGGUGAAAGGCCAAUCAAACCGGGAGAUAGCUGGUUCUCCCCGAAAGCUAUUUAGGUAGCGCCUCGUGAAUUCAUCUCCGGGGGUAGAGCACUGUUUCGGCAAGGGGGUCAUCCCGACUUACCAACCCGAUGCAAACUGCGAAUACCGGAGAAUGUUAUCACGGGAGACACACGGCGGGUGCUAACGUCCGUCGUGAAGAGGGAAACAACCCAGACCGCCAGCUAAGGUCCCAAAGUCAUGGUUAAGUGGGAAACGAUGUGGGAAGGCCCAGACAGCCAGGAUGUUGGCUUAGAAGCAGCCAUCAUUUAAAGAAAGCGUAAUAGCUCACUGGUCGAGUCGGCCUGCGCGGAAGAUGUAACGGGGCUAAACCAUGCACCGAAGCUGCGGCAGCGACACUGUGUGUUGUUGGGUAGGGGAGCGUUCUGUAAGCCUGUGAAGGUGUGCUGUGAGGUAUGCUGGAGGUAUCAGAAGUGCGAAUGCUGACAUAAGUAACGAUAAAGCGGGUGAAAAGCCCGCUCGCCGGAAGACCAAGGGUUCCUGUCCAACGUUAAUCGGGGCAGGGUGAGUCGACCCCUAAGGCGAGGCCGAAAGGCGUAGUCGAUGGGAAACAGGUUAAUAUUCCUGUACUUGGUGUUACUGCGAAGGGGGGACGGAGAAGGCUAUGUUGGCCGGGCGACGGUUGUCCCGGUUUAAGCGUGUAGGCUGGUUUUCCAGGCAAAUCCGGAAAAUCAAGGCUGAGGCGUGAUGACGAGGCACUACGGUGCUGAAGCAACAAAUGCCCUGCUUCCAGGAAAAGCCUCUAAGCAUCAGGUAACAUCAAAUCGUACCCCAAACCGACACAGGUGGUCAGGUAGAGAAUACCAAGGCGCUUGAGAGAACUCGGGUGAAGGAACUAGGCAAAAUGGUGCCGUAACUUCGGGAGAAGGCACGCUGAUAUGUAGGUGAAGUCCCUCGCGGAUGGAGCUGAAAUCAGUCGAAGAUACCAGCUGGCUGCAACUGUUUAUUAAAAACACAGCACUGUGCAAACACGAAAGUGGACGUAUACGGUGUGACGCCUGCCCGGUGCCGGAAGGUUAAUUGAUGGGGUUAGCGCAAGCGAAGCUCUUGAUCGAAGCCCCGGUAAACGGCGGCCGUAACUAUAACGGUCCUAAGGUAGCGAAAUUCCUUGUCGGGUAAGUUCCGACCUGCACGAAUGGCGUAAUGAUGGCCAGGCUGUCUCCACCCGAGACUCAGUGAAAUUGAACUCGCUGUGAAGAUGCAGUGUACCCGCGGCAAGACGGAAAGACCCCGUGAACCUUUACUAUAGCUUGACACUGAACAUUGAGCCUUGAUGUGUAGGAUAGGUGGGAGGCUUUGAAGUGUGGACGCCAGUCUGCAUGGAGCCGACCUUGAAAUACCACCCUUUAAUGUUUGAUGUUCUAACGUGGACCCGUGAUCCGGGUUGCGGACAGUGUCUGGUGGGUAGUUUGACUGGGGCGGUCUCCUCCUAAAGAGUAACGGAGGAGCACGAAGGUUGGCUAAUCCUGGUCGGACAUCAGGAGGUUAGUGCAAUGGCAUAAGCCAGCUUGACUGCGAGCGUGACGGCGCGAGCAGGUGCGAAAGCAGGUCAUAGUGAUCCGGUGGUUCUGAAUGGAAGGGCCAUCGCUCAACGGAUAAAAGGUACUCCGGGGAUAACAGGCUGAUACCGCCCAAGAGUUCAUAUCGACGGCGGUGUUUGGCACCUCGAUGUCGGCUCAUCACAUCCUGGGGCUGAAGUAGGUCCCAAGGGUAUGGCUGUUCGCCAUUUAAAGUGGUACGCGAGCUGGGUUUAGAACGUCGUGAGACAGUUCGGUCCCUAUCUGCCGUGGGCGCUGGAGAACUGAGGGGGGCUGCUCCUAGUACGAGAGGACCGGAGUGGACGCAUCACUGGUGUUCGGGUUGUCAUGCCAAUGGCACUGCCCGGUAGCUAAAUGCGGAAGAGAUAAGUGCUGAAAGCAUCUAAGCACGAAACUUGCCCCGAGAUGAGUUCU